AGCUCCAAUAGCGUAUAUUAAAGUUGUUGCAGUUAAAAAGCUCGUAGUUGAAUUUCUGGUGGGAGUGUACAGUCCGACACUGAGUGUUGGUUCUUGUAUGUCUCCGGCCAUCCUUGGAGUGAAUCUGUCUGGCAUUCAGUUGUUGGGCAGAGUAUCUCCAUCGUUUACUGUGAGGAAAUGAAAGUGUUCAAAGCAGGCUUACGCCGUUGAAUCUUUUAGCAUGGAAUAAUAAGAUAGGAUCUUGAUACUAUUUUGUUGGUUUGCGUGUUAAGAUAAUGAUGAAUAGGGACAGUUGGGGGUAUUUGUAUUCCAUAGUCAGAGGUGAAAUUCUUGGAUUUAUGGAAGACAAACUAAUGCGAAAGCAUCUACCAAGGAUGUUUUCAUUA
rnacentral:rRNA from 1 species